rnacentral:rRNA from 1 species
AUUGAACGCUGGCGGCAUGCCUUACACAUGCAAGUCGAACGGUAACAGGUCUUCGGAUGCUGACGAGUGGCGAACGGGUGAGUAAUACAUCGGAACGUGCCUAGUAGUGGGGGAUAACUACUCGAAAGAGUGGCUAAUACCGCAUGAGAUCUACGGAUGAAAGCAGGGGAUCGCAAGACCUUGUGCUACUAGAGCGGCCGAUGGCAGAUUAGGUAGUUGGUGGGAUAAAAGCUUACCAAGCCGACGAUCUGUAGCUGGUCUGAGAGGACGAUCAGCCACAGUGGGACUGAGAAACGGCCCAGACUCCUACGGGAGGCAGCAGUGGGGAAUUUUGUACAAUGGGCGCAAGCCUGAUCCAGCAAUGCCGCGUGCAGGAUGAAGGCCUUCGGGUUGUAAACUGCUUUUGUACGGAACGAAAAGCCCCGGGUUAAUACCCUGGGGUCAUGACGGUACCGUAAGAAUAAGCACCGGCUAACUACGUGCCAGCAGCCGCCGUAA